rnacentral:rRNA from 1 species
UAGGGAAUCUUCCGCAAUGGGCGAAAGCCUGACGGAGCAACGCCGCGUGAGUGAUGAAGGUCUUCGGAUCGUAAAACUCUGUUAUUAGGGAAGAACAAAUGUGUAAGUAACUAUGCACGUCUUGACGGUACCUAAUCAGAAAGCCACGGCUAACUACGUGCCAGCAGCCGCGGUAAUACGUAGGUGGCAAGCGUUAUCCGGAAUUAUUGGGCGUAAAGCGCGCGUAGGCGGUUUUUUAAGUCUGAUGUGAAAGCCCACGGCUCAACCGUGGAGGGUCAUUGGAAACUGGAAAACUUGAGUGCAUAAGAGGAAAGUGGAAUUCCAUGUGUAGCGGUGAAAUGCGCAGAGAUAUGGAGGAACACCAGUGGCGAAGGCGACUUUCUGGUCUGUAACUGACGCUGAUGUGCGAAAGCGUGGGGAUCAAACAGG